rnacentral:rRNA from 1 species
UACGUAGGGCGCAAGCGUUGUCCGGAUUUAUUGGGCGUAAAGAGCUCGUAGGCGGCUUGUUGCGUCGACUGUGAAAACCCGCGGCUUAACUGCGGGCUUGCAGUUGAUACGGGCAGGCUAGAGUUCGGUAGGGGAGACUGGAAUUCCUGGUGUAGCGGUGAAAUGCGCAGAUAUCAGGAGGAACACCGGUGGCGAAGGCGGGUCUCUGGGCCGAUACUGACGCUGAGGAGCGAAAGCGUGGGGAGCGAACAGG